rnacentral:rRNA from 1 species
GACGAACGCUGGCGGCGUGCUUAACACAUGCAAGUCGAACGGAAAGGCCCUGCUUUUGUGGGGUGCUCGAGUGGCGAACGGGUGAGUAACACGUGAGUAACCUGCCCUUGACUUUGGGAUAACUUCAGGAAACUGGGGCUAAUACCGGAUAGGAGCUCCUGCUGCAUGGUGGGGGUUGGAAAGUUUCGGCGGUUGGGGAUGGACUCGCGGCUUAUCAGCUUGUUGGUGGGGUAGUGGCUUACCAAGGCUUUGACGGGUAGCCGGCCUGAGAGGGUGGCCGGCCACAUUGGGACUGAGAUACGGCCCAGACUCCUACGGGAGGCAGCAGUGGGGAAGAUUGCACAAUGGGCGGAAGCCUGAUGCAGCAACGCCGCGUGCGGGAUGACGGCCUUCGGGUUGUAAACCGCUUUCGCCUGUGACGAAGCGUGGGUGACGGUAAUGGGUAAAGAAGCACCGGCUAACUACGUG